rnacentral:misc_RNA from 1 species
GAUGAAGAACGUAGCGAAAUGCGAUACGUAAUGUGAAUUGCAGAAUUCAGUGAAUCAUCGAGUCUUUGAACGCACAUUGCGCCCCCUGGUAUUCCGGGGGGCAUGCCUGUCCGAGCGUCAUUGCUGCCCUCAAGCCCGGCUUGUGUGUUGGGUCUCGUCCCCCUUCCCGGGGGGACGGGCCCGAAAGGCAGCGGCGGCACCGCGUCCGGUCCUCGAGCGUAUGGGGCUUUGUCACCCGCUCUGUAGGCCUGGCCGGCGCUUGCCGAUCAACCAAAACUUUUUUCCAGGUUGACCUCGGAUCAGGUAGGGAUACCCGCUGAACUUAAGCAUAUCAAUAAGCGGAGGA